GUGGGUUACGGCGACAUGACGCCUCGAACGUGGGAAGGGAAGAUCAUCGGCGGAGCAUGCGCAAUAUUCGGGGUACUCAUGGUGGCUUUGCCUAUAUCUGUCAUCGGUAGCAAU
rfam:Nematostella vectensis strain CH2 x CH6 NEMVEscaffold_32_Cont5683, whole genome shotgun sequence.